GGCGGGAGAAGGGCCUUUGGGUUGUAAAUGCUUUUUCAAGGAAGAACGUGGGAUUUUUCAUGAGCUAUGGGACGGUAAGAAUAGGCACAGCUAAGUCCGUUCCAUCACCGCAGCUAAUAUGAUGGGUGCGGGCGUAAUCCGGUCUUAAUGGGUUUAGAAGGGAGGGUAGUCUGGGUAGUACGUCAGGUGUGAAAGUAAACGUUCAACUCUACAAAUGGCUUUUGAUAGUGCUAUGCUAGAAUUGGGAACAGGUCAGCGGAAUGGAACAUGUAGCGUUGAAAUGCAAAGAUAUGCCAUAGAACGCCACUUCAGAAGGCAGGUGGGUUGACCUGGAUGUUCGUUGAGGCACGAAAGCGUGGGGAGCGAACAGGACUAGAUUCGAUGCUAGUCCACUCCUUACAGGAUGCGUACUACACGUAUGUCGGUAGACGAUGUGCGUCCAAGGGAAACCGUUAAGUAAGCCACUUGGGGAGUACGACCGCAAGGUUGAAAGUCAAAGGAAUUGACGGGGGUCCGCACAAGCGGUGGAGCAUGUGGUCUAAUUCGAUGAUACGCGAGGAACCUUACAUCGGUUAGAAUGCGAGUGACGUCCUGUGAAAGCAGGAUUCCCUUCGGGGCACAAAGCAAGGUGCUGCAUGGCUGUAGUCAGCUCGUCCCGUGAGGUGUUGGGAUAAGUCCCGCAACGAGCGCAACCCCUGUCCUUAGUUGCCAUGUCUGUCGGGGACUCUAAGGAGACUGCCGGCGCAAGCCGCGAGGAAGGUGGGGACGACGUCAAGUCAUCAUGGCUUUUAUGCCCAGGGCGACACACGUGCUACAAUGGCCGGUACAGAGGGUUGCCAAGCCGCAAGGUGGAGCCAAUCCCUUAAAGCCGGUUUCAGUUCGGAUUGGAGUUUGAAACCUGACUCCAUGAAGUUGGAAUCGGUAGUAAUCGCGCAUCAGCCAUGGCGCGGUGAAUACGUUCCCGG
rnacentral:rRNA from 1 species